GAUCGUCAAAGGUCUGGGAGCCAUUGCGGAGUUAAUUGUGGUCGCAUGGUGUUGUUGGUGAAAAUUCGCCGAACGGAUGUAGGUUAUUUGGUAGGUUUUGGUGUUUUAGUGUUGUGGAUAGCCUGAGAACCCCGCCAUGCCUUGUUGACUGGUUGCUACUGCCAUUCUCGAAGUGCGAAGAUGGUAGAUUAGCAGCGGAAGGGUUUCAGAGCCUGUUUCGGCGACUUCGAAAAUUCGGUU
rnacentral:lncRNA from 1 species